UGACUAUAUGUUUAACGGCCGCGGUAUUUUGACGUGCGAAGGUAGCGCAAUCACUUGUCUUUUAAUUGUAGACCUGUAUGAAUGGCAAAACGAGGGCUUAACUGUCUCCUUUUUUAGGUCAAUGAAAUUGAUCUCCCCGUGCAGAAGCGGGGAUAAAACCAUAAGACGAGAAGACCCUAUGAAGCUUUAGACACCAAGGCAUAUCAUGUUUAACACCCCAGAAUAAAGGAUCUAAACUUAAUGACCCAUGCCCCUAUGUCUUUGGUUGGGGCGACCACGGGGAAAUAAAAAACCCCCACGUGGAAUAGUAGCACUAAUACUACUACAACCAAGAGCUACAGCUCUAAUAAACAGAACUUCUGACCAACAAGAUCCGGCAGCGCCGAUCAACGGACCGAGUUACUCUAGGGAUAACAGCGCAAUCCCCUUUUUAGAGGCCGCAUCAACAAGGGGGUUUACGACCUCGAUGUUGGAUCAGGACAUCCUAAUGGUGCAGCCGCUAUUAAGGGUUCGUUUGUUCAACGAUUAAAGUCCUACGU
rnacentral:rRNA from 1 species